rnacentral:lncRNA from 10 species
CCGGCGUCCGCACACAUUACAACGCUGCGCCCCCGACACUCGGCUGCGGGCGGCCCUAGGGUGACAGUGUCAGAAGUUCACUAGGUCCGCAGAAGGGCGGAAGUGUGGAGGAGUGUCCCAGCACCCGAGUGUCCCCGGCGCCGCCCAAGCCUCAGCCUGGAACGAGAGAGGGGGCUCCGCGAAGGACUGUCGGAAAGGGUGGGGGGUAGAGGACUGUUGGGGAUGACAGCUCCCCAGCUCAGGCGCCGCCUUCUCGCCCCGGCUCUGCCUGGCUGGAAGCAGGACCCAGGGAGGAUCGCUCACUGCCCACCUUGCUCGCGCUUGGAAUGCCACCCUGCCGGCCCUUGGAGAAGGAAAUCUCUCCCUGGACGCUGGCGCUUUCCCAGGAACCAGUCCUAGGAGCCAUUCCCUGAGCGCUUUCCCUGGAGCUCGGAGCUCCGAGUGCUGUUGCUGACCUGGGAGCCCCGCAAGAUGCUCCAGGGGCUGGGGACGAUUUUGUGCUUGUUGGGAGGGGGGAAUGAUGAAGAAACUUACAACCUCACGUAAUGGGACAAAACUGAAAUCGUUAUGACAUGUUUGUCCGUGGGGACUUGUCCCCUGGGCGCUCAUGGAGCUUUUCCCAUGGAGUUGAUUUGUUUUGCAACAUGCGCCCGGGAGUGACGGGGACCCACGACAGCUGGGUAGGCACGCCGUGAACCAGAAGCCAGCGUCGGGCACAGGGAGCCCAAGAAGUGGGUUCAGUGAGGUUGACUUCGCUGAUUGUCUUCCUGUACUAAUGGCUUGCUGGGGGCAAGCUAGGGCGCCCCCUUCUCUGGUUUGGACCACGCUCUCAGUACACAGGAGGCUUUCAGGCUGUCUCUUUAACAGAAGAUACACACUGAGCUCGGCUGCAGGUUUUGUGGGGUUUUGUUUUGUUUUGUUUUGUUUUUUGUUUUUGUUUUUGUUUUUUUUGCCAUUGGGACUCAGGAUCAUUUCUUCCUGAAAAUUUGGCGCUAUAGAUCCAGUCUCCCAAAGCAUCUUUGUAAGAAAGCAAAUCUCCCACCCUCCUUCCAACUGUCUUCCAGGCCACUCCACCCCUCUCCUGCCUUGGCAGUAAAGUUAAAAGAGGCGGAGAACUGGCCCCACUUCAGUAAACUCCGUAGGAUAAGGGGAUUCAGCGCUGUGCUCAUGAAAUAACUUUUGUGAAGUUCCCACGUGCGCGCACUGGGAUGAGCCCAGCAUAAAAUUAAGAGGCCACCAUACUCCCUAGCAACCAUUCAUUCAAUCCACAUAUUCCUAAAUGCCUACUCCUUGCCAGGCGCUGUGGUUGAACGUUGUAGCCCAUCAGCGACUGAGACAGAUGCGGAUCCUGCUCUUUUCAAUUGGGUAAACAGACCAGACACAAACUGUCUGCUAACAGAAUGAGAGGCAAAGUCAGGGCAGAAGUGCCUAUAGGAAAUGAAUGUCAUAUGUGUGCCAGUAUCAGCACUUGUGUCUAGAAUAGGAGUUGUGUAGUUGUUAAUGGUAAAGGAGGCUGCUUUUCAGAAUUCAUCUGUUUACUCAUCAUGUGUAUUGAGUUCCCAAAGUGUGAAAGAAAAAAAUCAGAAAUGGGAAAAAUACAUCUACCUCUGAGCCUAGAUUCCCAGAAAGUUAAAGCUCAAAGAUCAAAAUAUUUGGAGAUUCUUUUCUAAAGGAGUUUUAGGCCAAGUUUUCAGCUUGAAUUGAUAUAAAGGAAAAGGUGAGACAUUUAAAAAUGAAUAAAUAAACCAAACACACACACACACACACACACACACACACACACACACACACACAAAAUAAGAACAAAGACUACAGAGGCUGGAGACAGGAAAAUAUUUCUAUGGAGGGUCGCAGAUGGCUUGUCUUGCUAGGAUGAUUGAGCCACAAUAUUAAACAGAAAAAGGCAAGGCUGUGCUUGGCAAGCAGGUGGUCCUAACCUGUUGGGGUUGGGGGUACCUACAGCACCAGGAGGGAAGAAAGAAGGGAAAUGAUGUGCCAGGCAGCAGUGCUAAGCAACAUUAACUGAAUUAAAUUUUCAAACAACCCCCAAGAUAGGUGCAGAUUAUCCUAACUUGACACAUCAGAGUACUGAAGCUCAAUGGCUAUAUUACUAGGAUUGGAAGUAGGCUGUGGAGGGGAGCACAGCAACAGAAUUUCAGGAUUGGAAUGGAGCUCUAGCCCAGCCACAUACUUCAAACCAUGAAGAAUUUGACCAUCUAGUCCAAUAGCCACACUUGGAUUUUUAAAUUCAUGAACAAACUAAGGCCCACGAAAAUUAAGUUAUGUGUCCAAAGUCUCACACGUAAGAGGCAGAUGAAUUCAUUCCUACAACUUGAUUAGAAAAGCAUGAACUUCUGUUCCUUUAAUAGUGAGGUAACAGAAGAAAAUAGGAAUUUAAAGUUAAUUAAUAAGGCAAUUAGUCAAGUGUAGGAUUAAAAAAGGGUAGAAGGUCCAAAAGGAGGGAGACCAGCUAGGAAGAUGCUGCCAUAAACUGGCCAUGAGAUGAUGAAGCUUUCAUUCCUGGAGAUGCACUCUGGUGAGUGGAGAACAAAGUGGGUGCUGGGAAAGCUGGACAGGAGAAGCAAGGCAUUGAUUGGUCUCAUAUAAUGUGAGAAGGUGGCAUCUCCUUAGAGCAUCUCCAUGCCAAGGGUUCAACUCCAGAUCUUUGCAUCCAACAUCAGACUUGAAUGUUAGCAGAGCCUGAGUUUGUUGGUUUGUUCAUUGUCUGCUUAAAAAGCCAUAGGUUUUUAGAUGACUUUUGAUCAAUAUACAUGAUUGAUAGUUUAAAGAAUGAAUGACAAGGACAAAAAUAUUCCCUUUAUCCACUAAAAUCAACUUUCCUUGAUACUGCAAAAAUUGUAGGGAAGAUGCUUUCAAACAGAUGUCUUUACUUAACAGCUUAAUAACCACAUUGUCAUAGAAGGACUAAGAAAUGCCACAUUGCUCAGGCCCUGGAAUCUACAUGGAGUGUCAGAAGAUACCAGCCACCACUGAUGGCUCUUCACCAGUUCCAAUCUUGCCAGGGCCUCUGCUCUGUACUACAAGCCCUUUCAUUUGAGAUUUGCAGCAGGAGAGAGUUUUGGACAUCACAAGCCCAUCCUCUGAAAGGAUAGUUCCACUGGAACACACGAAUGCAUGAUGCUGAGGCUGGCUCUCUCUUCCACUUAAUCUCAGUGGUACUUCUGACUGUUCCCCAUGUCCCAAUGCUUUCUUCAACUCUCACUCUUCUUCCUAUCCUCUUUUUAUCCAGCAUACUUUUCUUUCCAGAGCUCAUCAUUUCAAUAACACUCUUUUCAUAACCCUACACUCUCCUGCCCUUUGGUCUUCACUCUUCAACUCAAAAUGAUCUCAGUUACCUGCUUUCUCAGUGCCCACCCUCCAGGAACAAGCACUGCAGGGGAAAGCCACAGAAUAGGACAGGUAAGUAUCAGAACACCACCUUCACCAGCUUCAGAUGGACUUGCAACACUGCCCCUCAGUCUUCCUAUAUUUCUCCGUCUAUUCACUCUCAUACCAUCCUACUCUCUACAAUGACUAUUUCAAACAUUCCCCAGUUUCUCCAAACCUCCAACUCCUCCUUCACGCUGCUCCUUUUCAACAGACAUGCAGAGCUCCAACUUUUCAGAGAAAAUCAAAUUAGUUGAAUGGGAGCAAUUUCUACUUCUACCCUUUUGCACCAAAUCUACUUCUAUCCAUACCGUACUUCCCUUCUGUCUUCUCUCUAAGGCUAGUCCAUCUCCAAUGUUCUGGGUCUGAUCUUCUCUUGCUUUCAACUAGUAAAAAAAUGUAUUCAUUUUUCCAUCUCUGUACUGUGUAUUCAAUAACUCCCUGUAAACUGUAUCCUACCUUUUAAUAUUCAAACAUGCCCAAGCCUCUCCCAUGUAUAAAUAAGGACAUGAACUCUCCUUCAAUGAACCCAUAUCUUCUUCCCAUCAUAACUACAUUUCUUAAAGGUUUUGUUUAUAUUCCCUAUUGCUUUCCUCUGUGUCUAUUUAAUCCUCAAUCCAUUCCAGUCAGAAUUCGGCCACCAUCACUCUAUGAAAAUUGAAGCUACUCUAGUCACCAAUAACCUCCAUGCUGUAACAUCCAAUGGACAUUGGUCAGUCCUCUCUUUGUCCUCACAAAACCUCAUGACAUGGUUGAUUGUUCCUUCUUGAAACAUUCUACUUUCUUGGCUGUCCAUCUGACACUGGCAUGCUACUUCUAGGAACACAUUUUUGAAGAUGGUGUCCCUUUCCCUCUGGAUCUCCUUCAAUGAUUAACUCAUUACUGAGCCUCUCCCAUAUAUGGGUUGGAUUUCUUGUUUACAUGCAUGGAUAUAUCUGUAUUCUUUUCCUUCAAAGAAUUGAUUUUAAUUUGUGAUUACUCUUUUAUUAACCGAAGUAACCAAAAUGUGUCCUUUCUUCUCCCACUAGGUUGUAAAUUCUACAAGAGCAAUUCAUCAUUGUGGGGCCAAUGCCUACUGCAUCCAAAUGCCUAGCACAUGUUUGACAAAAUUGAAAUUUGUUGAAUUAAUAAAUGGGUGAAUUAGUACUUCACACCUUUCAAUGGGCUGGAAACUUAACCAUUAGGCAAGACACAAAUAGCAAGCACCUAGAAGAUAAGCAUGACAGACUAUUAACCUUUAUCCCAGUACCUAUGGUAGUCCUCCAACAUGGGGGAUAUUCCAAAAAAUGAUUGACCGACUAAAUGAAUGGACAGAAUCCACUAAUAGAGUGAGAGACUGACUAAUCAUGUAAACUCCUAGGCAAACCCCCAAUGUAAAAAAUCCAUCAGCCUAUGUAGAGUUCUUGAAUUUCAAGGUUGCAGCAACAACUCUUCCUUCUUUUAAGAAAUGAAGUUUGGUUUAGAGUCAAUUAUAUUACCCAUCAUAAUCUCAAAGUAUCUCCAAUAAGAAAACAACAAUAAUGAAAAUAAUACAGAAAGUCCACCACAAUACAAAUUAUUUUUUCAUAAAUACAUAGCAGCAGGGGAAGGGAGGAGA